CUACGGGCGGCUGCAGUGAGGAAUAUUGCACAAUGGGGGGAACCCUGAUGCAGCAACGCCGCGUGGAGGAUGACGCAUUUCGGUGUGUAAACUCCUUUUAUAUGUCAAGAAAAUGACGGUAGCAUAUGAAUAAGCACCGGCUAACUCCGUGCCAGCAGCCGCGGUAAUACGGAGGGUGCAAGCGUUACUCGGAAUCACUGGGCGUAAAGGACGCGUAGGCGGGUUGGAAAGUCAGAUGUGAAAUCCUACAGCUUAACUGUAGAACUGCACUUGAAACUUCUAAUCUAGAGUAUGGGAGGGGGAGAUGGAAUUAGUGGUGUAGGGGUAAGAUCCGUAGAUAUCACUAGGAAUACCUAAAGCGAAGGCGAUCUCCUGGAACAUUACUGACGCUAAGGCGUGAAAGCGUGGGGAGCAAACAGGAUUAGAUACCCUCGUAGUC
rnacentral:rRNA from 1 species